rnacentral:rRNA from 1 species
AUGGACAUGUUGAGUACACGUGUACAUCUGUAUGCCCUUGGUACCUGUGUGGAAGGGCAGCUAACGAAUUUCCACAAGGCAAGGUACAAGCCUGCACAAGGAUUGCACAGAAUGGGUGAAACGAGAGACCUCGAGAGGGCAAAUCCACUUGCUCUUCCUUUACAUUGA